UACGGGGGGAGCAAGCGUUGUUCGGAAUUACUGGGCGUAAAGGGCGCGUAGGCGGCCACCGCAAGUCGGUUGUGAAAUCUCCGGGCUUAACCCGGAAAGGUCAAUCGAUACUGCGGGGCUAGAGUGCAGAAGGGGCAACUGGAAUUCUCGGUGUAGCGGUGAAAUGCGUAGAUAUCGAGAGGAACACCUGCGGCGAAGGCGGGUUGCUGGGCUGACACUGACGCUGAAGCGCGAAAGCUAGGGGAGCGAACGGG
rnacentral:rRNA from 1 species